CAGUCGCCGCGGGAAGACAGAGGAUGCAAGCGUUAUCCGGAAUGAUUGGGCGUAAAGGGUGCGUAGGCGGGUCCUUAAGUCAGGGGUGAAAUCCUGGAGCUCAACUCCAGAACUGCCUUUGAUACUGAAGAUCUUGAGUUCGGGAGAGGUGAGUGGAACUGCGAGUGUAGAGGUGAAAUUCGUAGAUAUUCGCAAGAACACCAGUGGCGAAGGCGGCUCACUGGCCCGAUACUGACGCUGAGGCACGAAAGCGUGGGGAGCAAACGGGAUUAGAUACCCCUGUAGUCCCUGUCUCUUAUAC
rnacentral:rRNA from 1 species